GAUGAACGCUGGCGGCGUGCCUAAUACAUGCAAGUCGAGCGAAUGGAUUAAGAGCUUGCUCUUAUGAAGUUAGCGGCGGACGGGUGAGUAACACGUGGGUAACCUGCCCAUAAGACUGGGAUAACUCCGGGAAACCGGGGCUAAUACCGGAUAACAUUUUGAACCGCAUGGUUCGAAAUUGAAAGGCGGCUUCGGCUGUCACUUAUGGAUGGACCCGCGUCGCAUUAGCUAGUUGGUGAGGUAACGGCUCACCAAGGCAACGAGGCGUAGCCGACCUGAGAGGGUGAUCGGCCACACUGGGACUGAGACACGGCCCAGACUCCUACGGGAGGCAGCAGUAGGGAAGCUUCCGCAAUGGACGAAAGUCUGACGGAGUAACGCCGCGUGAGUGAUGAAGGCUUUCGGGUCGUAAAACUCUGUUGUUAGGGAAGAACAAGUGCUAGUUGAAUAAGCUGGCACCUUGACGGUACCUAACCAGAAAGCCACGGCUAACUACGUGCCAGCCGCCGCUGUAA
rnacentral:rRNA from 1 species